GGGGUAUAGCUCAGUGGUAGAGCACAUGCUUAGCAUGCACAAGGUCCUGGGUUCAAAACCUUGCACCACCA
rnacentral:tRNA from 1 species